rnacentral:rRNA from 1 species
UACGGGGGGGGCAAGCGUUGUUCGGAAUUACUGGGCGUAAAGGGCUCGUAGGCGGCCAACUAAGUCGGAUGUGAAAUCCCCAGGCUUAACCUGGGAACUGCAUCCGAUACUGGAUGGCUUGAAUCCGGGAGAGGGAUGCGGAAUUCCAGGUGUAGCGGUGAAAUGCGUAGAUAUCUGGAGGAACACCGGUGGCGAAGGCGGCAUCCUGGACUGGCAUUGACGCUGAGGAGCGAAAGCCAGGGGAGCAAACAGG